GCCGCACAAAUACGCGAGUUCGAUUUGUGUGGAAGGCGUGAAUCACCUUCCAGAGUAGAUUUAUCGAUAAAGUGCGCCUUUAGUCUUAUCUAAGAUAUGCACGCUGUCGGUCCCAAAGUCGAUGAACGACAACGGCGGUAACAGCAGCAGAAAACAGCAGAGUGGUGUGCGGCACGUCAGAGUCAAUCACAUUUGCCGCACCUCAAGCGUCGUCAGUCUCAAACAAGUUAGAGUGCAGGUGCGAUAGUGAUUGUGACACGAUCCCGGGCAGUUAGUGACCAAGAUUGAACCUGGUGUUGGGAAUCGGAUACCUGAUUGGAUUAGGAAGAUCUCCGGGGGAUCGCGGUAACCACUAGAAGCUACUCUCUACAGAUUCUAACAGAAGUGCUAAUCCAGUCAGGAUGGGAUGUUGCUGCAGCAAUUCGGACUCGCAGGAUAUUACGCCGGUGCCACCGAGGCCGGGUCUACCCGAGGAUGCCCCGGUCGCAACGCCGUACGGGCUGAGCGAUAACAGCGGGGGCGACCAGGACCCCACCGGGUACAAUGUGAACGGAUGAUGAAGAUGACACCGGUGCGGGUAGCUCCGAUGAGUUACGCCAGCAGCCGCCACGUGGAUAUUUACCAACACGCGGCAGUGGACAUUGUCGACCUGAAUUGAUUCGGAAGGGGGAGGGGUGGGUGAAAAAUGUAAUUUAUUUAUACUAUAAACAACAAAACGCUAGAAAACGUGAUGGAAGUUGUUGACAGUUUUCGAAGUUGAA